rnacentral:rRNA from 1 species
AGUGAACGCUGGCGGUAGGCCUAACACAUGCAAGUCGAACGGCAGCACAGUAAGAGCUUGCUCUUACGGGUGGCGAGUGGCGGACGUGUGAGGAAUACAUCGUAAUCUACUUUUUCGUGGGGGAUAACGUAGGGAAACUUACGCUAAUACCUCAUACUACCUACGGUUGUAAGCAGUGGAUCUUCGUACCUUUCGCGUUUGUAUGAGCCGAUGUCGGAUUAGCUAGUUGGCGUGGUAAAGGCCCACCAAGGCGACGAUCCGUAGCUGGUCUGAGAGGAUGAGCAGAAAAACUGGAACGGAGACACGGACCAGAAGCCUACGGGAGGCAGCAGUGGGGAAUAUUGGACAAUGGGCGAAAGCCUGAUACAGCAAUACCGCGUGGGUGAAGAAGGACUUCGGGUUGUAAAGCCCUUUUGUUGGGAAAGAAAAGCAGCAGGUUAAUAACACGAUGUUAUGACGGUACCAAAAGAAUAAGCACCGGCUAACUUCGUG